rnacentral:lncRNA from 1 species
UUUGGAUUUUUGAUCAGCAAACAAAGUGCCUUCUGAACUAAGGACACAAGGUGUAAAGUCCUGUUUUUCCUCUGUUUGGUGACUAUGGGUUUUGUUGUACUCAGCAGACCUUUUGUCUAACGCAUUGACACCUUGAUGAAAAACAAAAGGUAGAUUCAUCAAAAGAGACAAGAUUACUUGAAUCAUAAAU